GACGAACGCUGGCGGCGUGCUUAACACAUGCAAGUCGAACGGAAAGGCCCUGCUUUUGUGGGGUGCUCGAGUGGCGAACGGGUGAGUAACACGUGAGUAACCUGCCCUCGACUUUGGGAUAACUUCAGGAAACUGGGGCUAAUACCGGAUAGGAGCUCCUGCUGCAUGGUGGGGGUUGGAAAGUUUCGGCGGUUGGGGAUGGACUCGCGGCUUAUCAGCUUGUUGGUGGGGUAGUGGCUUACCAAGGCUUUGACGGGUAGCCGGCCUGAGAGGGUGACCGGCCACAUUGGGGCUGAGAUACGGCCCAGACUCCUACGGGAGGCAGCAGUGGGGAAUAUUGCACAAUGGGCGGAAGCCUGAUGCAGCAACGCCGCGUGCGGGAUGACGGCCUUCGGGUUGUAAACCGCUUUCGCCUGUGACGAAGCGUGAGUGACGGUAAUGGGUAAAGAAGCACCGGCUAACUACGUG
rnacentral:rRNA from 1 species